rnacentral:lncRNA from 1 species
GCUCCACUGCCCUCCAGCCUGGGCGACAGUGUGAGAUUCCAUCUCAAAACAAAAAAACUGAAGUUAAAGUGAAGUUAGGUCCUGGGCUCCCUGGUCACAUCUCUGGGUGGUCUUUGGUGAUGUGUUUCCAGCAAUGCCACAUGCAUUGUCCCUAAGCUGCCACUCCGCAUUGCUGGCCAGAUUGUGUUCCUGUGUGCCCAGGGACGUCCUUGUUGUUGGCCCAGGUGGGACCCAGUUGAGUCCUGUCCUGUCCCGCUGGGUAGGAGAGUGAGGCCAGGGCACUAGGGAGGCCUCACCCUUCUCCUGGGCCCCCUUCCACGUCCUGCUGGGGCAGCCUGGCAGGUUCAGUGCUGAGUCCUGAGAAGCCCAGGACACUUGGGCUGCUGUGGUCAGAGGGGCUGGGUAGAGCCCAGCCUCCUGUCUGUCCUCCCCAGGGCCUCCCCAGCGGCUCCACCGCGUUAGUGUUGGCCCUGCCUGACCGCCUGCCAGGGAAGGAACUGGGCCUUCCACGCCCUGUAGUCAGUGCCUCACAGCUAGGCUGAGGCUCAGCUCUUCUGAAGAUGAUUUGGGUUCUUUAACCUGCAAUCUCUGAGAACCAUUGACUUGGCUACUGUGCAGUUAGUAAAAGAUGCUGUGCCAGCCCCAACUCGGAAAAACGACUCAUUCACGCCCCAAAUAAUUCCAGAUGUGUAAUAUGAGUCAUACUCACCACUGCCAUGUCUUUGAUGAAUGUGGAAAAGGCCAGUAUUCCCAAAACAUUCAACUGCUUCCAGGUCGUUGGUGGUGGUGUUGGAGAAGGAGUCCUGCUCUGUCGCCCAGGCUGGAGUGCAGGGGCCUGAUCUCGGCUCACUGCAACCUCUGCCUUCCGGGUUCUAGCGAUUCUCCUGCCUCAGCCUCCCGAGUAGCUGGGAUUACAGGCGCACGCCGCCACACCCGGUUGACUUUGUAUUUUAGUAGAGACGGGGUUUUGCCGUGUUGCCCAGGCUGUUCUCGAACUCCUGACCUUAGGUGAUCCACCCGCCUCAGUCUCCCAAAGUGCCUGGAUUACAGGCGUGAGCCACCACAUCCGGCCCCGGGUUUGUUUUUUAAGCCAGAUCUGUGUAUAAAGUCUCUAUCAGCAACGCCCAAAAUGGCCACAUAUGAACGACACGCCCAGUUGUGUUCUGCAGGCGCGAGAGAGGGACCCACAGGAAGAGCCAGGACGGUUUCUGUCUCUCAAAGCCCCACUUGUUCUGGUGUAGAAAAAUGGAAACAUGAUAGAUACUGAGAUUUAUGAUGACUUCAAUGAAGCAUCACUUGAAGAGGCGAGGUGAGGGCGAGCCCCACGGGCGACAGACGCAGCCGCAGAGCUCUCGGUGGGAAAACAAGUCAAGCAGAAGGAUCACCUUGUCUCGCUCCUGACGGUCCAGUCGAAAGUGCUUGUUGAGUACAAUCGUAAAUGGACAAGAGGAGGAAAGUGUUGAGGAUUUGCUGAAAUUGGGUGACGGGUUCAAGGGAUUUGUUUCUGCGUUGUUUCUCCUUUGUAUGUUUGACAACGUCUGUGAUUAAAAAUAGCCAUAAAAUAUAAGGCAGGUACACUUUGGCUGUACUAGUGCGUAUCCUGUGUUUGUCAGUUUUGUGAAGACAGAUGGAAAGGUUCAG